rnacentral:rRNA from 1 species
CGGCAGAACAGUAGCUUGCUUAGCUCUACCUAGCGGCGGACGGGUGAAUAAUGCUUAAGAGUCUGCCUAUUAAUGGGGGACAGCAUCUCAAAAGGGAUGCUAUUACCGCAUACCUCCUACGGAAGAAAGCAGGGGACCUUCGGACCUUGCGCUCAUGCAUGAUCCUAAGUCGCAAUAUCUAAUUGGUGGGGUAAAGGCCUACCAAGGCGACAAUCUGUAGAGCCUCUGAUAGGAUGAUCCGCCGCUCUGCCACUGAGACACGGACCCAACUCCUACAGGAGGCCGCAAUGGGGAAUAGUGGACAAUGGGGGGAAGCCUGAUCCCCCCAUGCCGCGUGUGUGAAGAAGGCCUUUUGGUUGUCAAGCACUUUAGCCGAUUAGGAGGCUACCAAGAUUAAUACUCUUGUAUACUGGAGGUUACUCGCAAAAUAAGCACCGGCUAACUCUGUGCUUCCAGCCGCGGUAAUACAGAGGGUGCAAGCGUUAAUCGGAUUUACUGAUUACUGGGCGCGCGUAGUGUGGCCAAUUAAUUCAUAUGUGAGCUCCCCGAGCUUAGCUUGCAAAUUGCAUUCUAUACUGGAUGGCUAGAGAAUGGAAUGGGAUGGAAGAAUUCCAAGUGUAUGGGUGAAAUGCGUAGAGAUCUGGAGGAAUACCGAUGGCGAAUGCAGCCAUCUGCUCUAAGACUGACACUG